CCCCCGCGGGGAGGCGGAAACGGCGGCGGCGGCGGGGGCGGCGGCGGCGGACGACGACCACCGCUCUCUUGCCGACCUCGCCGGUCUCGCCCGCUUGCGGGCUUGGAGACCCCCUAACCGUGACGGUGUGUACUACGACCUCCCCUUCGCUCUCGGAGUAAGCGCCUCCUCCUCUUCCUCCUCGGAAAACCGGCGUGGAAAAGAAUCUCCCCCUGCCUCCUCCCACCCUGCUUGUUGUGGUCGGGUCGGGUCGGUCGAGGGGUUUGACGAUUGGCUUCCACCGCCACGGCUUCCGGGAGAGCUUUGAGAAGAGAAAGAAAGAGCAAAAGAGAGUGCGCGGGCGCGCUGGCAGCCAGCCCCCCUUUGAAUCUCGAAUCUUAGAUCCGGUGGUCCGGAGGCCAGUGUGUGUGCUUGGCAACAGGCGUACUCGUUCGCCGACGCCGGCGGUAGCCCGGGGAAGAGCUUUCUUCUCUUUUUUAGGCUGCUGGAGGCCCCCAAGUUCGUUCACUUUGAGUGGGGGUCGUUGGCCGUAACAGCCAUACGUGAGAUUGUGAUCUGUUGGGAGCAAUCCUCGCUGUUGCGAUCGCCACCGGUUCGCCGUAGAGCACCGCGCAAAUAAGCGCUUGGUGUCCCGUGCGCUACCGCCGGCCCUUGAAAAGGUGGAUAGGGUAAACCCCCUCCGGUACCAACCAACCAACCAAACCAAGAGAGAGAAAAAACGAAAACGAUGAUGAUGAGGGGGGCGGCGGCAUUGUGCGCGGCUCCGCAAUGCGCUUCUCGCUUUGCUCGUCGAACGCUCCAGGCCGAAAGGAGAGCGAUCCCUGUGGGGUGGAGGUCGAGAGGACACGCGCCGCCGCCGCAGGGGCGGUGGUGGUUAUUUAAAACCUUUAAAACCUAGGCAGGUCUUCUAGCAGAGAACGGGCCCUCGGGAGUUUUCUUGAGAUGCCAACCCAGCACGCCCGCGUCGCGGGGGGGCAGUCCGUACCUUACUCCGCAGCAGGUCUCCAAGGUGUUCAGCCUCUGGUCGAUAGAUCAAUGUAGGUAAGGGAAGUCGGCAAGUUAGAUCCGUAACUUCGGGACAAGGAUUGGCUCUGAGGGUCGAGCCAUGCCGGGCCCACAGCCGGAAGCGGUCCCUCGUUCUCCUGGCGGGCGGCCGCCGGCGACGCGCGGAGGCGGCGGCGAGGAGGGGACCCAAGGGUGCCCGCGGCAUCGGCGGCCUGCGGCGCCGCGGCGCUUCGGCCCGCUCCGAGGGAGAAGGACUGGGCGAGGGGCGGCCUCUCACGAGGUCGCUCCGAGCUCGGACCCGACCCCGCAGGGGCGGUCGCCGGGCCCGCGGCCGCUCUGCGCUCCACCGCCGCCGGGUGCCCUCCCCUCCGCUCGAGCCGCGCAGCCCGAGCGCCCGCCGGCAGCAGGUGCCCCCGCCGUCGCGGGUCGGGACCAACGCGGAAGGCGCCUCUCGGGCAAAGGCCGGGGUUUCCCUCCCGUUUCCCCGGCCGCGGCUGGCAACAGACGGCCGUCUCAGAACUGGCACGGACCAGGGGAAUCCGACUUCAUCUAAUUAGUGACGCGCAUGAAUGGAUUAACGAGAUUCCCACUGUCCCUACCUACUAUCUAGCGAACCCACAGGCAGGGGAACGGGCCUGCAGUUAACGGCGGGGAAAGAAGACCCUGUUGAGCUUGACUCUAGUUUGGCUUUGUAGAGAGGCACCUGAGGUGUAGCAUAAGUGGGAGGUCGCUCACGCGGCCGACGAUGAAAUACCACUACUCUGGUCGUCUCUCUACUUACUCGGUGAUGCGGGAGCGGGAGGCGUGACGGGGUUCGGGUCCCGCGAGCGGGGCGGAGCGCGGCUUCGGUCGUGUCUCUCCCCCUCCGGCCCGUCUUCCCUAUGCCUCUACCGAUUUUAGACUGCAAGUGACAUGAACAAGAGCGGCCGCCUCCCCGGGGGGCGAAAGGGGCUUCUCCGCGCGGGGGCGGUCGUCGCCGCCGCUCGCGGCGCGCGUCGCGACCCGUUCCGAGGACAGAGCCAGAUGGGGAGUUUGACUGGGGCGGUACAUCUGUCAAACGAUAACGCAGAUGUCCCAAGGUCAGCUCAGCGUGGACAGAAACCACGUGUAGAGCCCAAGGGCAAAUGCUGGCUUGAUCCGGACUCUCAGUACGAGCACGGACUGCGAAAGCACGGCCUAGCGAUCCUUUUGACUUUUACGAGUUUUAAGCGAGAGGUGUCAGAAAAGUUACCACAGGGAUAACUGGCUUGUGGCGGCCAAGCGUUCAUAGCGACGUCGCUUUUUGAUCCUUCGAUGUCGGCUCUUCCUAUCAUUGUGAAGCAGUUUUCACCAAGCGUAGGAUUGUUCACCCUCUAAUAGGGAACGUGAGCUGGGUUUAGACCGUCGCGAGACAGGUUAGUUUUACCCUACCGUUAACAACGUCGCCACGUCGCGACAGGAGCCCCGCCCAGUACGAGAGGAACGGUGGGUCCGGACCAAUGGUGCACCUCCUGCCCGACAGGCCACCAGGGGAGGGCAGCCACGUCCGGCAGGUUUUACCCCUGAAAGCCUCUCAAGGGGGAAACCGCGCUGAGCGUUAAGCGACGUGAUCGCGUGCGGCGCAACGGAUCGGCGAGUUUACUAGACUGAAGAGUUUAGACGCGAACCCGGCGAGAGCCAAGGGGGGCGGACUGUGCCCAUGCAAGGGGAAGUCACGCGGCUGUUUCUGACGGUCGAAGGGGGUCGAGGCCCAGUCGACGGCCCGCC
rnacentral:rRNA from 1 species